CAAUAGCGUAUAUUAAAGUUGUUGCGGUUAAAAAGCUCGUAGUUGGAUUUCUGCUGAGAACGACCGGUCCGCCCUUUGGGUGUGUAUCUGGCUCUUUCUUGGCAUCUUCUUGGUGAACGUUGCUGCACUUGACUGUGUGGAGCGCUACCCAGGACUUUUACUUUGAGGAAAUUAGAGUGUUUCAAGCAGGCAUACGCCUUGAAUACAUUAGCAUGGAAUAAUAAGAUAGGACCUCGGUUCUAUUUUGUUGGUUUCUAGAGCUGAGGUAAUGAUUAAUAGGGACAGUUGGGGGCAUUAGUAUUUAAUUGUCAGAGGUGGAAUUCUCAGAUUUGUUAAAGACUAACUUAUGCGAAAGCAUUUGCCAAGGAUGUUUUCAUUAA
rnacentral:rRNA from 1 species